rnacentral:rRNA from 1 species
AUUUCCCGAGUAACGGCGAGUGAAACGGAAACAGCCCAGCUUGAGAAUCGGGGCGCCUCCGGCUCCCCGAAUUGUAGUCUGGCGAAGGGUCCUCUAUAGCGGACCGGGCUUAUGUCCCCUGGAACGGGACGCCAGAGAGGGUGAGAGCCCCGUCUGGCCCGGACCCUGCUAUGUUACGAGGCCCUUUCAACGAGUCGGGUUGCUUGGGAAUGCAGCCUCAAUCGGGUGGUAAACUCCAUCCAAGGCUAAAUACUGGUGAGAGACCGAUAGAGCACAAGUACCGCGAGGGAAAGAUGAAAAGGACUUUGAAAAGAGAGUCAAACAGUGCUUGAAAUUGCUGGGAGGGAAGCGGAUGGAUGCCUUGGGUUGUGCGCGGGAUGCGGGUGGAACGGUGAUCAAGCCGGUCCGCCGACGCAUCCCGUGUGCUCGCCAGCGUCGGGGGCGGCGGCGGGACAAUGGUCUGGGCCUCGGUCCAGGCUGAUGUUGCCGCCUCCCCCGGGGCCACGGGCGGCGCGCCGAAAGGCGGACCCUUCGGGGUCCUGCGUCUCCCGGAUGCUGGUGUCGCGGUUGUUCCAUUCGACCCGUCUUGAAACACGGACCAAGGAGUCUAACAUGUAUGCGAGCCUGAGGGUGCAAAACCUUUUCAGGCGCAAGGAAACUGAUCAGUGGGAUCCCUCUCCGGGGGGUGCACCAUUGACCGACCCUGAUCUUUUGUGAAAGGUUCGAGUGCAAGUAUACCUGUUAGGACCCGAAAGAUGGUGAACUAUGCCUGAGCAGGGCGAAGCCAGAGGAAACUCUGGUGGAGGCUCGCAGCGAUACUGACGUGCAAAUCGUUCGUAUGACUUGGGUAUAGGGGCGAAAGACUAAUCGAACCAUCUAGUAGCUGGUUCCCACCGAAGUUUCCCUCAGGAUAGCUGGAGCUCCUUUGAGUUUUGUCAGGUAAAGCGAAUGAUUAGAGGCAUCGGGGGUGAAMMCCCUCGACCUAUCUCAACUUUAAUGGGCAGUCGCCGGGCUGCUUCGUGAGCCCG